CUUUACUGUAGCCUGGAAUUGGGUUCGGGCUUUGACUGCGCAGUAUAGGUGGGAGGCUAUGAAGAUUUCCUUCCGGGGAAGUUGGAGCCAUCAGUGAGAGACCACUCUGGAGAGGCUAGAAUCCUAAUGGUGAUCCUUGAAUCAGGACACUCGACAGUUUCAGGUGGGCAGUUUUUCUGGGGCGGAAGCCUCAUAAAGGGUAACUGAGGCGCGCAAAGGUCCCCUCAGUCUGGACGGAAAUCAGACAACGAGUGUAAAGGCAAAAGGGGGCUUUACUGCAAGACCUACAAGUCGAGCAGGAGCGAAAGCUGGCCUUAGUGAUCCGACGGUACCGUGUGGAAGGGCCGUCGCUCAACGAAUAAAAGUUA
rnacentral:rRNA from 1 species